GAUGAACGCUGGCGGCGUGCUUAACACAUGCAAGUCGAACGGUGAAGGCGGAGCUUGCUCUGCUGGAUCAGUGGCGAACGGGUGAGUAACACGUGAGCAAUCUGCCCCUGACUCUGGGAUAAGCGCUGGAAACGGCGUCUAAUACUGGAUACGAGCUGCGAAGGCAUCUUCAGCAGCUGGAAAGAACUUCGGUCAGGGAUGAGCUCGCGGCCUAUCAGCUUGUUGGUGAGGUAACGGCUCACCAAGGCGUCGACGGGUAGCCGGCCUGAGAGGGUGACCGGCCACACUGGGACUGAGACACGGCCCAGACUCCUACGGGAGGCAGCAGUGGGGAAUAUUGCACAAUGGGCGAAAGCCUGAUGCAGCAACGCCGCGUGAGGGACGACGGCCUUCGGGUUGUAAACCUCUUUUAGCAGGGAAGAAGCGAAAGUGACGGUACCCGCAGAAAAAGCGCCGGCUAACUACGUG
rnacentral:rRNA from 1 species